GUCAGAAUAUAGACACAACCAGCAAAGACAGCCAUACCUCCAAACACAGUCAACAAGGAAUCACACAGUGGAAAGGAUGUGGCCAGAAAUUAACAACAGAGUGAAUUAUCCACUAAAGGAGGCCCUCAUCCAGCUACAAGAUCAGGAAGCAAUAGAUAUGGAGGACAGUCUGACAAGGUUCUGCACAUCUAAUCUGACCUGCCAGAUGGGCCAAAUUGGCAUAAACAGAUUUGUGCAAUCAUGGAAUGCUCACAGAAUUCCAGAAAGAGGGAUACCAAAUCACCUAGCAGGGACUGGAACACCAAGAAAAAUCACAACCGAUCUUCUACCAGAUGACACAGUUGCAGCUGACAUGUAUGACAGGGACAUGGGAUCCUCCCUCACCAGAGUAUCUUCAUUCGGAAGUGAUCCCUUUCUGUCUGAGGCUGACAAAGUGAGAGCAGAGCAGCACUUUGCACGUUA